rnacentral:lncRNA from 1 species
CUUGAAGCAAAGGAACCAGUAGGAUGUGUACCAAUCAGAAAGAAGCUCGGUGAACCUGGCCACACAAUUAUGGACGUGCUCAAGUGUCAGGAUCUGCAGUGGACAAGCUAGAGUCUCAGGAGCUUCGAAUGACUUCAAAUCAAAAUGAAAGGAGCGUUCACAGCCAGGUUGAGGACAGUGCCAGGUAAGAUCCUAAGAUGAGCCCAUAAUGUCCCAGCAUGAAGACAUAUGCCCAGAAGCAGGUGGGGUAGUGGAGAAAGGUUGAAAGGCCUCCUUGCCUUUCUCAUUUUAUGCACACCCCAAGUGAUUAGUUACAGUCCACUCACACUAAGGAAGGCAUUGUGCUGAUUUCAGACCACCAGUUUAAAUGUUGAGCUCACUCCAAAACACUGAUAGACACACACUAAUGCUUGCCCAGAUGUUUACCAGCUGACACAAAUAAUUAACAAAUUGUCUCAUGCUUUCUGUUGUUCUGUGACUGUAGAUUUCUAUCUCAAAUAGUUUGUCCUUCCAAAAUUUGUCUCUGCUAUUUAGGGUGAGAGAUCAAAUUCAGUUCUUUUGUUUUUAUAGUUUUUGACCUCUUUUGUAACUGAUAGUACAAAGCUAGUAGAUGCUUUAAUCUGAUGGUCACCGAAGGGCGUUACCCUGACCAGCGGUGGGUUUGAGGCCCUUUUUCCAGCCUCACAAUUGGAAUUUGUUAUUCAACAUUUGGAGUUAGCCUUUUAGGGAGAAGUGCCCUUUCCAUGUGGUUUUAAUUGCUUUCUCUGAUGAUCCUGACGUUUGCUUGGCUUUGUGUUUCUUCAUCGAUGAAGCAUUUUCUCAUGUCACUCGACCACUUUUUGGGUUGUUAGCCUUUUCUCUUUUCUAGAAGUUCUUUAAAUAGAGAAAUUAGCACUGUAUGAGGACUGUGAAUCUCUUUCGUCUUGUGACUUUUUUUUCACAACUUUUGCAUGGACAGCAUGCACAUUUUUUUUAAUAUAGUCAAAUUUAUCAAUCUUUUCCUUAUGGAUUCUGAGUUUUUAGGCACUGGAAGAAAGUCCUCUCCUAAGCUGAGAUAUAAAAGAAUUACCCAUGUGGUUUUGUUUUUUAAUACUUAUAUCUGCAUUUAAGACACUGAUCUUGCUGUAUAGAGACAAGGACAACUCCAGCUUAAUUCUUUAUAACACGAUACUCAGUUAUUUCAACACUGUACAAAAAGCCCAUUUUAUCAUAUACUACACACCAUGUGUGUUGAAUUAUUUUCCAAUAUUUCUAUGCUGUUCUAGUGGUCUGUUUAUAUGGCAGCCCCACAAGUUUGAAUCUUGGGACUUUUUAUUAUGUCUGAAUAUCUGCUAAAGAUAGCCUCUAACACCCUUGCCUCUUCCAAUCGCCCUUCAGAAAUUAUCAGGUUAUUUUGCUUGUUUUCCUACAUAGACUUUAAAAUCAGCUUGUUUAGGUCCAGACUAGGUCUGCUGCUACUUUUAUGGGGAUCAUGUUGAAUUCAUAAUGAAGAGAGACCUGCCACAUUUAGUCUGGUUUUGGCUAAGAACACGUGGGGACUUUUGAAUUGCCAAACGUCCAGAGUGAGUCUAGCCAUUUCUGACCCAUGACCUCUGUAGAAUCAGCAUUCUGCUGGAUGGGCCAGGGCCAUUUUCCUUGAAUGAUGUACAACCCGGAAAGAUAGCUGGAAACAGCACAGCUUCUUGGUGUCUUAUUUGGAAUGUUGUUAAUGAUGCAGGGUUUAUUUAAGACAAUUCUUAACCCAGAGAUUAUUCUGAACGAUGCUUCCACACAGCUUGGCCAAGCUACCUUAGAUACUCUUGACCCU